rnacentral:rRNA from 1 species
UACGAAGGGUGCAAGCGUUACUCGGAAUUACUGGGCGUAAAGCGUGCGUAGGUGGUUAUUUAAGUCCGUUGUGAAAGACCUGGGCUCAACCUGGGAACUGCAGUGGAUACUGGAUGACUAGAAUGUGGUAGAGGGUAGCGGAAUUCCUGGUGUAGCAGUGAAAUGCGUAGAGAUCAGGAGGAACAUCCACGGCGAAGGCAGCUACCUGGACCAACAUUGACACUGAGGCACGAAAGCGUGGGGAGCAAACAGG